rnacentral:rRNA from 1 species
UACAGAGGGUGCGAGCGUUGUUCGGAAUUACUGGGCGUAAAGGGCUCGUAGGCGGCCAACUAAGUCAGACGUGAAAUCCCUCGGCUUAACCGGGGAACUGCGUCUGAGACUGGAUGGCUUGAAUCCGGGAGAGGGAUGUGGAAUUCCAGGUGUAGCGGUGAAAUGCGUAGAUAUCUGGAGGAACACCGGUGGCGAAGGCGGCAUCCUGGACCGGCAUUGACGCUGAGGAGCGAAAGCCAGGGGAGCAAACGGG